CGUCAGCAGCGUAAACAACAACGCAAUAAAGGUGUUCGUACUGCCUUUCAACGAUUAAUUCGGCUUAAAUUUGAUCGAACCCGGGUCAUUAAAAUGUGUUUGUCGUAACCGUCGGCUAAAUCGCGCAACGCUCGAAAAUAAUUUGAUUAAUGCUCGAGCCCAUGACUCGUACGCUCGACCGAAUAACAUCGAAUGAAUGGCCGCUAUCGGUCGUACGUAUCCUCGAUUCGCGUCAGACCCUAAUCAAUUCGCUGUGUAUUCACGCGCAUCUUGUUUAUAAAGUUUUCACUGUAGUCCAGCAUGGCAGUUAUGAUGAAUAAUGAUAAUUACCGAAAGCGAAAUGGAACAGAGGUCAGGCGUUUCGCGGUGAUACCUCGGGAAAUCAUAGAUACCUGUCGCUCACACCGAGUUCGUCGUGCAACGGAACUAAGUUGACAUCGGCCGAGUAUUAAUCACUCCACUGACGUCACUUCGCUGAAAUAUCUAGACAAGAUUAAUCGUCUGUUUUUUAACGCUCGCAGCUUUAUUUUUAUGAUUCUAUCAUCGUGUCCUAUGCGACAGACCGGCACUCGGACGAAGCCAAUGAAAAUGAAAAUCAUACCGGCACCGAGAAAAAGUUGCUAUAGAACGCGAAAGAUCCAUUCGACGAACUCAUAUACAUUCACAACGCGUCAGGAAAAACCUCGUAAAACUAUCGUCAGACCCUCGUUAUCAAUAUCUCGCCAGAUUGCGCAAACUACACCGUCGUAAAUGGUUACAGGUACGUCGCUUCCGUCUAUAUAUCGAUAACAAAUACGCGAAUGUGCUCACCACGACUGGCAAUAACGUUGACGAACGCGCUACUCAAACGUGCGAACGAGUUUAUAGCGCUUCAAUUUAUAUACAAUUUGAAAUUUGUAUUUUAUGGAGCAGAGGAGAUAUUAGUGUUGAAGAAAGACAGCGAAUAAUACGAACACCAUCUUAUUGCUGGAAUCAAUAAAUUAAUUAAAAUAUCGCGUAUCGUGUAGUCUCACGUAUUGUAACUCGCGCAAUGACGACGACAAUAUUUUACGUUAUCGCGAGCUAUACGCAACGUGUUUAUAUACGGUGGGACGAACAAGUAGACGAAUUGGUAGAUCGUUGAAUUAGUGGGACAACGGCGUUCGAUGAUAUCGUCUAGUCUAGGAGUUGGAAUUCAUUUUCACGGCAGAGCGAUAAAGACGCAACGAUCUUCUGUAAUCCUUUUCUCAUUUUCACGGUUCAAGAAGGUCAUCUAUGUCGUUUGUCAAGUGAAAGCACGGUGUCACGUGCAAAGGCUGCGUGUCGUCGCGUCGAGGUGGUUUUCCCGGACGUAGAAAACGGUUUCAGGAUAAGAGAGUGCAUUUUAUGUGUCGCCCUCAUAUUUCGAAGGGAGUGGAAGGGUGGAAAAAAUUCGAGAUAAAAAGAAUCGAGCAAAUUGAUUUUUCUUCUCAAAGACUUGGAAUCCUAACGCCAUAGAGGGAGGAAGGGAGAAAGAGAGAGGGCAGCUUUGCCAUCGAAUAAUAUCUCUGUGCUUUUAUCUCGGCAUAUGGAUGCUCUGUUACUGGACGUUCUAAAUAAUCAGCUUACUUAGCAGAUAUAACACACAUAAAGUACGUUGUUUCGCUUUAAGAAAUCGCACAAAAUGUUCGCAAUUUGAUCGCGCCGCAAGGUGCACCGUUUCUAACUCGUUUUACGAAAAAUUUCGCUUGAAUCUGCGCGAUGAGAAAAUGCUAUGCGUCUAUGCAGCAAUUAAUACGUUGCAUUAUACGAUAUGUACAUACGUGUAAUUUAACUAAGGAGAUAGAUACUAACAAACUCGUUAACAGCAAGUUACGCAAUUAUACCAAGUGAGAAACUUGGCGUAGGCGUGGAGCUUGUUUAAUUGACAUAAUAUGUAAUAUCUUACGUAACGAGUUUCUACUUUGGACUUGGGAAAUCGAAGGCCAUUGUGAUGUAACGAAGAUGAACGCAAACUCGAAGCUCGGUGAGUUAUUAAAUUUCAAUCGUACCUUGGCGUUAUUAAAAAUCCUUUCGUAUCGUAUAUCCCAUUGAAUUUAAUCCACCCUUUCCGUACCUUGUUUCAUUGACCUCCACUUCACGUCCACGUCACAUUCCGAGUGACUACGCGCAGUCAUUCGCGGUUUUUGGGUCAACAUUGAAAUCCACUUCUCUGGCCUGGAACUCGAGCGUAGUGUAUCGUCGACUACUAUCAGAGGUAGUACCAUAAUAACCGGGAUUCAUUAGCGAAUCGAAGAAAAGAUCGAUGAUUUCGAAGAAGACAACGCGCCAUCAACGAGUGUUCACGAAUUGGGAAACAUUCGAAUUUCAGUGGAACUUUUUAGAAACGUUGCUUAGAGGGGAAAGAUCGUCGAAACGUUUCGUUCGACGUGCAGCUCGAAAAAUUGAAAGCAUCGUUGCAGCUGCCGAUGACAGACGCGAAGAACUGAAUACGAAGCCUUGUAUGUGACUAAUGAUUCGGAAUGCACUGGGUUAUCAGUAAUUCGUAUCCCGCAGCGUAUGCUGAUUGCGUUGCUACGAUUGACAUUGCCAAUAUGCUUCAUUAAACUUACUUGUAAAACGACAAGAACGUCGAUAUCGAUCUUUCAGAUGAGCUUUCUUUUCUUGCCGCAGACGUGAAAUAGUUACAUUUUUCACCGCACGCUUUGAUACGCAAAGGUGAUGAAAAAUUACAAAAUUAUUUGAAACUAGUCAUACCGCCAGAUACGAACAACAACAAUUCAAAAAUUCUAUCUAUAACGAAUGAGCUCGAACGAGGAUGUUGGUAAUAACGUAAAAACACGGAAAGAAGACCGAAUAUCGUAAACGACCACGAUUUACAUAUUCAUGGCAAUUAUUGUAAAUUAUUUCUCUUGAAAUCAGAAUCAGUCGACAGCUAACAUUUGUCGCAAUGAAUAAAAUGAUUUUCUUUAAUUCUAUUUAACAUCGACCGCGUAUAUCUAAAUAUUUGUCGCUGACGGAAUUUCGUAAAAAUCUUUCAGCCGUUAAAUACGCUAGCGUACCCUUUUACGAAGAAAAAAGAGAAUACGAGGAUCAGGCGAGGUUGUGUUUUAUUCUUUCGACCAAUAAAAGCCAAGCCAGAAAAGCAAUCGGUAUCGCUAUUCCGAACAAAAAUACGAUUCUAUUGGAUUCGAAUAUUCGAAAUAUGUUGAGCAGGGAUUCCCGAUGGAGCGAGUAGCAGGGAAUAAUCAUUUUUCAAGUUUUCCCGGGAGGUCAACGUCGAGUCCUGGUCAGAACGAUGUCAACGAGACUUUUAGCGUGCUCUCGGUCGUCACGGCAAUACCGUAGGCAAAGCACGAAGCCACGCAGCCCUCCGCCAAAUAAAACAAAGCCGUAGCGACCGCGUGCGAGAGUUCACACCACGACCGCAGAAACGGCUGCCAAGCCGAGCAGAAAUGUGUGCAGACAUAUCCCCGAAUCCCCGGAUCCCUCGAGCACUGACCGACCAAUUAACCUUCUGCACAUUCUGGGUCCUCUGCCUUUUCCAAUGACCAACUCUCCAUGCUUCACCUUUGCUAUUCGUUCGUUGCUUCCUCUCGCUUAUUUACAAAACGGUAAACUUUCCAUUCGGACGUUCGUUUUCUCUCGUUGACAUCUAAAUGCUCCGAACGUAUGUAUGUACGUAUCGUAUAAUAGAAAAUUCCGUUAAGUCUAGAAUUUAACAUACUCGCAUAAACCUGAUACACGCCGUGUCGGAGAAUACCUUGCGAUUCGUUUCAACCAGUGAAUUCCUGACUCGUUUGUUCUGCGUGUAAAUAUUAAAGCCGAAAAUAUCGGAUUGCGAAGGGAAUGCGAGCAGGCAAGCAAGCACGUCUCCACUUCUGACGUUGUCAUUCUCCCCGAGGCAUAAGCUUACCUCACAUACGAAAGCACGUGUAUCAUGCAUGCAUUUUAUAUUACCGUCGCUUUUUCACUGCGAAACUCAGCUCCAAAAAAUUCCCAACCUUUUUUCCAUUCUGCGUCCGCAGCCACGCAACUCUUCCUCUUGUUCCUCUUUCAAUCGCGACUUCAAUCGUUCUCCUUAAUUACGACGUCUUGGUAAUUCCGGUGAAGUUAGCGUUCGACCCGACUUUUUAACGAUGUACGAUUCGCGACCAAUAACCGCGUAGAAGAAAAGUCAAGGCACCAACUUUCCGCGAAGAGGUAUUUUCAUCGAUCAUUUGCAAUUCCUCUAUCGACGCCGUGCUGGCAAGUAUCGCGUCCUGGUUCGACUAACUUUACGACGAGGCAACAGGGGCGAAGCAAAAGCGUAGAAUUGCAAUCGUAACCGAAACGAUAACUCGUUUUCCGUAAGAAAAAAAUUGCGGGUGAUCCCUUAAAAUUAUAGAACGUUCGUUUGCUUAGCCUGGAAAUCGGGCAACGCUCGCGUAAGCUUCUCCAUAGACGACAUCUGGGUCAACCUCGGUCGUUCGUAAAUAUCGGCUCAAAGUCGCACCGAGAUCGAGUUUACGCGACCGCUUUAAUAAAAUGAUCGCGUGAAUUCGGUUCGGAAAAAACGACAAGUUCAGCCGCGAUGGAUACACUGGUCUGUGCCAGUAAGCGACUUUCAACGGGGAACGCGGACUUGCUAUUGCGUACGACACGGUACACCGAAAUCCGGGAUUAUCCGAUCUUAAUCCACGUAAGAGUGGCGAGUGACACGCGUGCAUGCGGUAAUACGCGACGCUAGGGUUCGCGUAUGCGGCUAAGUUUGCUAUAGUGGUAUUCACCGGAAACCCAGUUAGGGCUAGCAAUAAACUUUUAGUGGCCUUAGCCGACGCCAGACUUACCGUACGGAAUUCCAGUUUAAAUUGAAAAUUCCACGCCGUGAAAAGGCCGGGCAAACUUCCACGACGUACAUUAACGCGUGCCGUCAACUCGCACGGAAUUAGAACGGUCGCGGAAAAUCUUUUAAGCCGAGACGUGAAUGCUGACCAAGAUAUUUCCUUGAAUCCUGGUAAAUUGUUAUUUCUCGGUGGGAUGCUUAACACCAUCAUCGCGUUACGAGAUACGGGUUAAUAGUCGCUGUAUGCGCGAUUCUCGAUAAUGAGCACCACAGGUCACGCAAGAGACAGGGUUUGCCCCGUGGUUUCGCGCAUAUAUCCUGCUCUUGAUCUCCCGAUAUACGCAUUACCAACCGAAAUGCAUUCGCGACGAUAAUGCAAUAUCACGCGAAUCGUGGACUACUCGCUUUCAUCGUCUGUCACACCCUUGGGAUCGGAUCCUGCGAGACGUGAAUUAAGCAUAUACAUUCGGCGAAAAUAUAUCGUAGCGGUGCCCUGUACGAAUCGGGACAGAGAAAUACGAACAAACGAUGGUCAAGAAAAAUGGAAACAGAGAGAGAGAGAGAGAGGAUCUGCGAAUUCGAAUAAUAUUUGCGUGAAUACGAAAGGUUUUAUCGCGUGUUCAAAGUGUUGGAAGCCUCUUAUUAUACUUACGGAGAAUCGCAUAAGAACAACGGACGAAAAGGAGGGGGAAAGUAAAAACCAGCGAGGAGAAUUCUUUAACGGAGAAUUCAUGCGACAAGGGAAAGAAAUAACAAGUUCGAUCAAAGACGCUGGACGUACGUCUAAUUACAUCGUUAAGGUAAUCCGUUUUGAAAUCCUUAAAGCGAUUGUCCACGACAAGGAGACAUUAAAUGUACGCGGUAACGAAUAGCUAUGUACCUAUAUAUUUAUGUCGUAGAGUGAAAUACAAGAAAAAGUAGGAAACGCUGGAAGAGAAAGAAAGCGUUAACUUGAUACCUCGGAUAGAAAUGAAAACGAGAAAUGAAACAAAGGAAAGCUGCAAGGAAGGUGAACACCUUAACAAGAUAACCCGCUGGUUUGCGUUGAGAACUAAAACAGGAAUCGCGCGACUAAAAUACAUAAAAGACAAAGAACGAGCAGGAAUAAAGCGAAUACCUUGGCGAAUGGGUUCCUUAAUGAAAGAAACAAAUAAGCUAAUAAAUAGAAAAAGACCAAGAAUAAAGUAAAACGUAUUACAGGAGAUACGGCAGAGGGAAGAAAGGAAAAGCACAGUAAAGAGAAAUCAGCCAAGUUUUGCAUAUACGCGCGUUGAGUUGUGGCAUGGACCGAGCGAAAAUAGAAUACGAAGGAUGAGUUUACGCCGAAGGUACGUUUGCUGACGAGAUGAACGUAUAAUUUUGAACGACUGGAUUUUUUUAAUGUUUCCGUUAUUACGCGGUUAUUCCUCGAGAGCUUUCCAUUCAAUUACGUUAUCUUCGAGAUCUUGGAAUUUUAUCGAAGAAUUUCCUUUCGAUUUCGUCCGCUGCUUUCGGUCGAAAAUUUUUCUUCGCAUCUUAUCGUUGCAUUUAUGGCCGGUCGAUCGAAAAUACGGGUUUCAUCUCGGUCAAUCAAAAUAUCAAAGAGCGGAUAACUUAACGAUCUAUCAUUCACGAUUUGCUCGAUAGACGACCCAUCAAACCAUCCAUCGCGAAUCGAUGUUCGAACGGGUUUAACAUUAAUUCAACUCGGUAAAUUCGCGCUGCAAUUCAGCGUCGUCCAUUUCACGAUUGCCGAGCGAACAAAGGAAAGCACCGCACUUGGACAUUCACCUGCAUUGUCUCUUUUUUCAUCGCUUUGAGAGCGACAUCGUGCCGCACGGUUGUUAGAUACAAACACAAACAGACAGCGAUGGUGUCGUGGACGACCGUUCGAUUUGUGACAAAAUGGAUGCAACGGAACUUUUCAGCCAAUGGAUGUAAAAAUAGAUGAGACGACGGAAGUGUGGUUUUUUAACGAACAUGCAGCGGCAUCGAUGACAUUUUCCAAUCAAAAACCAUUAUUUACCCGACUAACAUGCGUCUCCAUGUAUCGGCCAUUCAUGCAAUUCUAUCGACAACGUACAAACGCUCUUUCCUUCAUCGACAUUGUCGUCUUAAAAAAUCUAUGAUCGCUAUUAAUCCCGCGAUAGAUAAGAGAAUCGUGAAAAAUGAUAACCGGAUAAAAAAUUGAAAAAAUGCUCCUUCGAGGUCGUUGAGCAAAUUCUUUUCAGAUCGUUCCAAGAACGUCGAAUCGUGGUCGUUCGAAUGCCACUCAAAGUCCACUUAGGAUCAAUGUUCGGCCAAUUUGUGAAAUAACUUCGCAAUGAUGAUAUCACCGACCGUAUGACACAUAUUUUUAAGCUAAGAAAGGAAGUAAGAUAUAGUUGAAACAUGGUACGCAUGUGGUGAAAAUAAAAUUUACAUGCAUGUCGUAUAAUGGCUUAAGUGCUUUCCUUCGCUGUCACGGUUUCUAUUCGAACAUCGUCUCUUGCUUUUCGUCCGUUCGGCACACAUCGGUUUCGACGUAUGACGAAAAUAUCGUAGGAGCCGUGCAUACCACCGUUACUAUUCGACCAUCCACGGAAACGACAGGAAACCUUUUUCUUGCCGCGAAAACCUAUCCAGCAGAAAGCUUUCUUGUCAUGCGGUGCUUGCGACCCGUAUAUGUAUACUCGCAGCUUUGCUGUCACGGAAAAACAUGUGUCAUGCUUAUGUAACCCUCGCUAGAGGACAAACCGUCGUCAGUCGUUCGUCGUUCGUCGUUCGCCUGUCGAAUGCAGCUACGGCAGCGUUAAAGUAGCAGUUCAGCGACUGGCGGAAUGCGAAUUUCAAUUAUCGAAACUCGUCCAUGUAGCCUCUUCCAGUUCGUUUAUGACAGGGGGGGGGAGGGGGGCGCGAAAUUACGAAACGGCAAAGUCACAUCGAACGGGACGCGUCGUUCUAUAUUCACGCCAACGAUUGAAAAAUUAUAGACUGUCUGGUGGAUUACAAAUGGCAGACGCGACCAAGUGGAUUGCCGGAUUGUUCGUUGUAACACGGUCAGUGACGAGCAAAUACCCGUGUGCGCGGCACGGUAACAAUCGUCACCGUGUUCGUAGCCAAAUACUUGUUAAGCGGAUGAGAUUCCGUCGCACCGGUUAAGCAUCGCGGAAUAUUUAACGAUCGAUGGAAUCCUGAUACGAUCCAACCGACAACGGAUAAAUUUAAUGGUUUCGCAAAUCCAGUGUCUUUCUCUUUUUAUUUCUCUUUUUUUUUCAUCAUUUCCCUCUCGGAGCAUCGGAAGUUUCUAAAACAAGUAUCAGCGGGAAGACAUCGAAUACGUCAGCCUGUUAACGAUGACAGCGGAGCCUCGAUUCAAUCUCGAUAAUCGAAAUGUCGAAGGAAGAUUACGCUAAACAAAGGUUGGAUAAAUUGUUCGGACGUAAAGCCGGGUAGAAAGAAGGGGUGGAAAGGAGGGACAAGGUGGAAUUGAACGGAAAAUCUUUCUUAGUACGAUUAUAGGGGUCAUGCUUGCAUUGGCGGCUGUACCCCAUCUCGGUCUUCGCAAGGUUGCAAGCGGCUUACGGUUGCGAGAAGACGCGUGCCGAAGUCUUAAGGUGUCCUUAAUCCAGUCGUGAUCAGCAGCGUACCGCCCAGGUUCUACUCUCUCACCGGUUGAUCCCUGGAAAUUGGAUCGAUAAGCUCUUAUUCGGUCCACCGCCUCCGACUGGAUCCUAGCGGCGUUCGUCGAGUUGCUUCCACGAUAUUGCGACCGUUAUUAGGUUCUAUCAGUCGAUGCGCCUACCUGUUCUCUAGUUCGAUUCGACUCGCUUCGAUUCGAUGGAAUUGUAUGUAUGUACAAACUUGCUGUCCGAUAAGCGUCCAUAAACGGAAACGCGCUCGUCCGGUCUUAGCUUUUCUCCAUCUUUUGAACAGCAACAUUUGCCAACGAUCCAGACGUUAUUGUUUUCCAUAGGUUAUCCGUUCCUGUUAUUCGCGUCGUUAGCCCCUACGCGAGAAAUUCAACAUUUCUCACGGAAAACGCUUAUUCGUUCUCAAUGAUAGAUCGAUCGAAGAAAUCAUCGUUGUUUUACAUCGAACCGUUGAUUUCUUUUUUUUUUUUUUUUCUCGCACGAGUAACAACACGCAGGUUUGUCACGACGAAAUGCAACGGACAAUGACGUGAUUAGUGUAGGGUAAAGUUCAGCUAGACCAACUAAUGGCUCUGGUAACACGGUCCGAUUGAGUUGCUGGUGUUGUCCGAGUUUGACCUAUCGUUGUUUCGCUCGAAAUACGUUGCUGAACAUGUAAACAUUCCUGGAUACAUUGCGCUGUGGGAUCGCUUUUUAACGAAUCGUAACUCGAAGACAAUGUGAUGGAAUCGUUCGACUUUCGUAAAAUUCUACCCACUAUCGUACGAAUUUAAAGAAAAAGAAGAAAAACGAGAUUUGAAGGUUUUUCUACGAAUAUAAAAAUUCGAUGCGAUUAGUCAAAGCCCGCAUCCUGGCGUAAUCGCUGCUUUAAUCGCUGUUACUUGUGCGGUUUAAACACGGUUACCUAUUUUAAAUAACUCGUUCGAAGAAAGCGUAGUUUACAACGAAGAAUUAGCGAACGUCAAGUCCGUAGAACAAAUUCUUUCUCGUGUGGCGUUUUUCGCGUGGUAAAAAUGAAGUUUGCUGCUCGUUAAGGAGAGUAAAAACGUGGCAUAGCGGUACCGCGCCGCUCUUCGAUGAUGCAUAGAAAUUACUGGACACGCGAAUCGCUAUGAUUUCAAAUUUAUAGGACUAUUAUAGUCAAAAGACGAAGAAUCGAAACUGAUUGGAAAUAAUGGUGGUUUGCGAUCGUUUGGUUUAGAGAUAAACGAAUGGAAAGCUUUCGAGAGAAACGAACGAGGAAAGAGAAAAAGCUGAACGGCGGCGUCCAAAAGACAGGAGAACGGUUUCUAAUAAAACAUGGCCUAGCCAGUUCCACUACCAACACCCCGACAUUCUCAGCAGGACGUGGACACUAUCGGUUUUAUUUACUUUUAUCGUGUUCCCCUUCUUCCAUUCUGUGCACACUAUUUCCUUCCAUUUACUUUGCCGUCCACUUACUUUCUCAUUUUUGUUCCUUCGUCUGCUAUCGUUCUUCUUUUAUAACCUAGUCUGUGUAUCAGAAAGAAGAAGACCGAUGAGAGUAGAGGUCAGAGGGAAUAAAAUAGAGUUUAGGUCUUUACGAGAGAAACAAGUAAGUACGUGGAUCAUCGUUCGUGAGUAAACCGCGACCAAUUCUCACGGAUUCGUAAUUAGAAAGCUUGUAUAGGGAUUAAGAGUGUCGAUUAUUUUGAAGAGAGCUCGAUAACCGUUUUAAAUUACAGUUUAUAAAAAAUUAAUGUUAAGCUGGACGGGAAAAUUACGUAUAAAAUCAGAAAAACGACGGAACGAUACGACGCCACUCCGAGUUAAUUUAUUCAUAGUGGCGUUAAAAUAUUCAUUGAACGCGAAAAACCGACGCUUUUGUUACUUGUUUUUCAAACUGUGUACAUCAAACGACUAUAUCGAUUAAACUUAUAAAUUAUGAUUUCAUCCUGCUAGUUGCCAGCGUAUCUUCCGACGUUGUUCAAACUCUUUGGACAAGGAUCCUAAAGGAAUAAGUAGAAAAAUCCGAUUUAACGCUAACACGGUACUGUUAACAUUAAAUAACUGUUAGCGAGCAUUUUGCCUGGCAGAAAAUCCCCGAUCGCUUACAGAUUGGCACGAUUUUGCUAGUCGGGACUAUCGGAACGAGGUCGUUUUCCAUAACCGUUAGAACAAACGACCCGCCGAUAACGAGUCCCAUAAAUCCGCGAACGAUCGCCGAAAUCGACUUGUUUCCAGUUUGCAACCGAUAUUUCACGGUAGGUAUAAUUUCAUUGUUGUAUGCGCGUUUUCACAGUGACGAGCGACACAGUGACAUUCGAUAAAUAUGAACGGCGAGAUUAUUUGAAUUGCGCGUUAUACGACCCAAUUAGUACCUGCACCGUAAUUUUUUCGACGUAUUCCCUUCCCGUACACGUGUACGUAAUCCGAGUUUGUAUUCGCGAGUCCAUCGUGUUUUCUCUCCUCGCGCGCAUCUCGGUACACGCGAUCACCCUACGAAUAAAACGGUAACCGAGUUCCAUCCAACAGAGAACAAACGAUAAAUUAUCGGAAUUGGCUUUAAUUCGCACUGUCGUUUCGACAAAUAAUCUUAAUUGCGGCCAUAGCAAGAUGUUUUCACAAUUUCAAUUUAUUGAUCGAUAUAACGACCGCCACCGCAGCAGAUUCACCUUCGUAAAUUAAUUAGUAGAUGUAAUUCACUUCCGGUGGGUAAUAACGGAUUGCGAAGGUAGUUUUCUGGUUCGGCGGUGAGCGCUAAAUGACAAUUUACCUAAAAGCAAAUUCACCGGUUAUUGCGGAGAGCUGUGGAAACCUCGAGGCUAGUGGUGAACGCACACGCUGCGCCGCAUUCGGUCACAUCUGCCCGCGCGUCUCGUCUUUGUCCAUUCGGAUUUUAAUCAUCCGCGUAUAAUCUCUUUCUUUCCGUUUAAUCUGCUUCGUCCAGGGAGAAAUUAAUGGAUCGUGAACUCGGUCAGCACCGCUGGACGCUGACUGUGCCGUCGCACGAACCCCAUCGUCUAACCGUACUAAAAUGAUUAAAAUUUUUUUCGAACAUUCGUUAACGACUUGCCAAGGAGCCUGAAGAAAAUCCGAGACAAACGAGCACCGCGGAAAACAGAGUUUCGAUUCCGGAGUUUGUAAGGAACGGUGAAAAAUGGCUGGACGUUUUGAUGCAUCAUCGUCGAGUCUAACCGUCCCAAUUUUAUACGCGCAAACAUAUCCUCGUAACUAAUAAAUCUUUCGCCCCGAUUGUUUAGCUAAUUCCCACGCUUGCACAAAUACCAACUAAAUUGUCAUCGGUAAGGCAACAAACAGCGUUGUCCUUAUUUUAAUGGCUCCCUUUAUGCUCUUUAUGCGCGAUUUUAGAAUUAAUUUGCCGGCAACGGUAGCGGUAACGGAACGUGCGUUACAAAUCACGCGUAAUUCGCAAUAAAGCGUCGUUACAGAACAUUAUUGUUCCGACAGGGUAGCGGGAAUAAUUAGCAGGCGAUAGCGAGGCGCAAGGGCGAUAAAUUGCUCUUUUGGGGCAUCGCUUUAUCUCGUCGGCGACGAAUGGAGAGCUCGGAUUGCAAAGAAAAACUGAAAAUACGAAGACGACACAAAACCCAAUCCAAGAGAAUUCAUAUCGAUUCUAUUCAACGAAGAAUCGACUCGAUUAAUUUUUCGAUUUCGCCUGAUUUCAGGCUCGAUUGUACAACCAUGAGAGACCGUCCUUCUUGUCUCUUCUUCUGUUUCGAACAGUCGCGCUGCCACGAUCCUUCUCUCCAGCUUUCUUUCUCGUCGCGUCGCGUUGCCCCACCUCUACCCUGUUCCGCUUGAAUUUCGUCUUAAUGGCGACGUAACGUUCUAUUUAUCGCAAGAUAGAAAACUGGCAGAAGUUGAACGCGUUCAGUUAACCAAGUUCCGCGCGGCUCCGUGUCGACGGAAAAUUACAGCUAUUAAUCGUAAAACUGUUUUCAUUAGUCGGUUUCUUUCUUUCACGACGGUACAUAUUGACCGGUCAGAAAGGAAAACGCGCACAGCAAGGCAAUUCCAUUCGCCAACUGGUUACUUUCAUCGACAACGUCCGCGACGUUUUUCCAGCCUUCCACCCGGCUUGCACGUAAAUUAGAUAUGUGCGCGCGCUUGUUCAAUCAAUUCGGUCCACGUACACAGGGGAACGUUUUCGAUAUUCGCUUCAUCGAUUGAAGUCCUGCAUGAAUGGCCAGUGCAUUCGGUCGGUCCAUUCCAACGACACAGCAACAAGAUUGCUGGCCAAGAAAUAUUUGCGUGAUUUUUUCUAGCCGGAAACCAGCAUAUAUACGUGGACCUGUGCGACUCGAUAACCGUGUGAGGGCAAACGAUACAAGUGGAAAUAAUCAUGGAUGAAACGGUUGCGAUCGCCCCUUUCGUUCUCCGAAAAGCGAGAAAAGUAACGGUAAAGUUGUACUCUCGUGUCUGAAAUACGGACGAUAAGCUGAGAAACGGACGAUAACCGUGUGCUCUAUGUAGCGAAACUCUGACGAUCGUUCUGAUCUGACGAAGAUCUGACCUGCAAGAAAGGAACAAAGCUCAAGGAAGACAACUAUCGAUUCUUGUAAUGCGUAACGUUUGAUUAACGAGACGCUUUUCCGCACAAUUACGUCAUUGCGAUACGUCGACGACGAUAGGAUAGGUGGAGGAAGCGUUGACAGACGUCUAUCGCCAUGAAGGCGAACGAUGGGAGGCGUUCACCCUUUUGUCGUGAUCGGAUAAGCCGAUAACAAUGGAGAUAAUGAAGGUAGGACUUCUGUCAACAAUGGGAUUUACGAAGCAACCCGAUAACUAUUAUCAUAAAAAAUAAAUGUUUAACAUUUUGGUUCUAAUUGAAUUUCUUCAAGAGGAAAAUAAUUUCCUGGAAAGAAUUUUUAUUCGGGCAAGUGAAAUUGAUGAGAAAGUAGCGGAAAUAAUAACAAAGAGGAUAUUAUUGCAGUAUAAUAAUUCGUAAUACGUGAACAUCCUUCUAGGACAUCAUUAUCAUCCUUAUCACCAUGGGCGGUGCGGUUCCACGACGUUAAAUUUUCGGCCUCACGUGCCGUCAGUUCUAAAGAGGACACGACGCUAGCUAAUACGUACUUGUUAUUCAUUUGAUUAGUUUCGUCAACGUAAUUAUAAUUUAUGUGUAUAUAUACAUAUAUUUCAAUAUUUGCAUAUUUAUCUUCCAUGAUUUUAUAAUUAUUAUUUACACGUUAACGAAUUGCUAAUAUCGUUACUUGUUGUAUCAUCAUUACCAUUAAGAAAUUGCAGAUGGAAUCCGCGCGUACAAGAACCUCCGCCUCGUUGCAAGACAUUCUUGGAAGUCACGGCCACCUCUGCCCACCGCGGGUUAAAGGCGGCGCUAAGGUACGAAAGCUGCGAGCGUUUAAGAGUUCCAAGGACGCAUAAAUAGCAAGCUCGUUUGCCCGAACAAGUCCUCACUCCCGAAACUCGGUACAAGAGGAGCUGGCAAAUUCCUCGUUCCAUUUUCAUCCCAGACAAUAUGCCUCUCGCGGCACGACGAACUUUCUCGGAGCAUAUUUUUUCGUAGAACGUCGCGGGGUUGGAGCGCGUCUUAAAUCAUUUGGAUCUUCUCCUUCUCGUACUCGGUGGAAUAUCUGCUCGGUUCGAGAAGCGGAACGAAAGCAGGCUCUGCGAAUAAAGGAAGAGCGGAGGGAACGGAAAGAGAGGACAUCGCGGUCCAGCGCGGGACGUCGGAAAGGGUUGUCAGCUCAGAAGGGGAUUAAAGAAGAACGGAAUUUCUAGUAGUUAUGCCUGCCGGACUCGCAGCCUGCCUUGAAUUAUGAUCGCGCCCACUCCAGUCUCUAUUAAAGUAAUAAAUUUCCAAUUCAAUAAUAUGUCGAGUAUCGUCGGAUACAACCACUGUUCGACCUAUUCCUUUGCUUAUAGCCUUGUAUACGUGUUUCUUUUCACCUAGGCGUCUCCGUGUCGAUCUCGAACGAACUGUAUAUUCGGGUUCAACGAAAUCUACGUGCGCUGCACUGGCAACGUCCGAGACUGUAUACGUAUAUGAACGGGCGGUCAUAUGUUCCGACACUUGACAAAUUGUCCCAAUCCGGAACUCGCCGUUAAUCUAUUCGUCGUUACCUCUCUGUUCGUCGGAUCUUGCACGAAGAUCGAUAUCGUCAUUGGCAAACUGCCUAAGUCCGAAUAUGCCGGAUGUAUAACCAGCAGGAUUCUGUCGUCUUGCGAAAUGGACCGACGACGCGAUGUUCCUCUUUCUGUUAUUCUUUUCGAACGAUUCGCGCGUUCUUUAUGACCAGUGGCAGUGGAGUAGAGAAGCCGCUAACUCGUCCUCCGAAUCCACGCAUGUACGGAUUAUCACAGCGGAUAGCCGGCCGUUCCUACUCGACUAGAAGAGAUUACACGCUCCGAACUUCGACAGUUAACGCCGCGAUAAAUUAUAGACCGUGGUGAAGAUCGCGCAUUGACGUACGAGCGGUUACGUCACUGUUGCCCCGCUCGCCACUAUUAUCCUUUCCCGCAACACGCGACCCAACAUCACGAAUGAUGCACCGUCCAAGUUUCCAACUUUUCAUCGAUGAAUCUUAAUUCGGCUGGUGCGUUGCUCCAACUCGCGGUAUCCUCGUAAUUUCAACUUACCAAAUAUAACUAUGUUGCGUUGUUCUGCGAUAAAUGACGAACAUCGGAGUGAAUCAAGGCUUGAGUUGAUUUCAUAGUUUCAUUGUUCAACGAAGCAAUGGUAUUCGUUAACAAAA